GAUGAACGCCAGCGGCAGGCUUAAUACAUGCAAGUCGAGGGGCAGCACAGGUAGCAAUACUGGGUGGCGACCGGCAAACGGGUGCGGAACACGUACACAACUUACCUUAGAGUGGGGGAUAGCCCAGGGAAACUUGGAUUAAUACCCCAUAAAACAGGGGGCCCGCAUGGGCAUAUUGUUAAAGAUUUAUCGCUUUAAGAUGGGUGUGCGUAUGAUUAGGUAGUUGGUAGGGUAAAGGCCUACCAAGCCGACGAUCAUUAACUGGUGUGAGAGCACGACCAGUCACACGGGCACUGGGACACGGGCCCGACUCCUACGGGAGGCAGCAGUAAGGAAUAUUGGUCAAUGGACGGAAGUCUGAACCAGCCAUGCCGCGUGAAGGAUGAAGGUCCUCUGGAUUGUAAACUUCUUUUAUAGGGGGCGAAAAAGGGCCUUUUAGGUCAACUGACGGUACCCUAUGAAUAAGCACCGGCUAACUCCGUGCCAGCAGCCGCCGUAA
rnacentral:rRNA from 1 species